AACAAUAAAUAAAAUUAAAAAAUAUUAAUUUAACAAGCCUGAUCUAUUUUUCACAUCUCUAAAAAAAUUAGCAGCAAAUAUAAGUCUAUCAAAAUUUUAUAUUAAUUUGAAAUUCCCUCUCAAAUUGGGGAUUCCCCCCAAAAUUUUGCCGUAACCCUUCUCUGUUUCUCAUCUCAUUAAUAGCGCCUCUCUCUCUCUCUCUCUCUCUCUCUCUCUCUCUCUUUAGCGUCCUUCUCCCGCUCCGUCUCCCUCUCCCUCACCGCCGGCAACCGGAGCACCGAUUCACCUCCUCCUCGCCCACUGCUCGCGCCACCAUUGACGCUGCAACCCAAAACCCCACCAGCUCGCUCUAUCACCAGUCCAGCUCGUCACUGUCCAACUCAUUGUCAACGCCGGUUGUUACCCGUGGUGUCUUGCCGCUGUGCUGCAACACCCCCAGCUCUAUCGUGAGUCUUGGCUUCGGCUCUCUUGGUUUUCUCUUGCUCUGCUCCCUUCCUCAUCAUUGCUCUAGAUCUGUGAAUACUGGGGACACCAACCAGAGAGGAAAUUAAGUGCAUGAAUCCGAACUAUACUGAAUUCAAGUUUCCACAGAUCAAAGCUCACCCAUGGCACAAGGUAUUUCACAAGCGAAUGCCACCUGAGGCAGUUGAUCUUGUAUCAAGGAUGCUCUAGUAUUCACCAAAUCUACGUUGCACUACGUUGGUGUCUUCAGAAAGAAAGGUACCAAACUAUAUGAAGCAAGCUUGAAGGAUGAGAAGCCUUUAGAUCAAUGGCUUCAUUGUUAAAUUAAGCAAGUGCUUUAGUAAAUAAAUUUAAUUUUCCCAUCAUGUUUACACCUUCAAAAUAUUCUGUAAAUGACAUUUGAUGUAGAAUUUUUUGUA